rnacentral:rRNA from 1 species
AGGGUUCGAUUCUGGCUCAGGAUGAACGCUGGCGGCGUGCCUAACACAUGCAAGUCGAGCGAAGCAUAGGUGCUUGCACUUAUGACUUAGCGGCGGACGGGUGAGUAACGCGUGGGUAACCUGCCCUAUACAGAGGAAUAACAGUUAGAAAUGACUGCUAAUGCCUCAUAAGCCGACGAAAUGGCAUCUUUUUGUCGGAAAAAGAUUUAUCGGUAUAGGAGGGACCCGCGUCUGAUUAGCUAGUUGGUGAGGUAACGGCCCACCAAGGCGACGAUCAGUAGCCGACCUGAGAGGGUGAUCGGCCACAUUGGAACUGAGACACGGUCCAAACUCCUACGGGAGGCAGCAGUGGGGAAUAUUGCACAAUGGGGGAAACCCUGAUGCCAGCAACGCCGCGUGAAGGAAGAAGUAUUUCGGUAUGUAAACUUCUAUCGACAGGGAAGAAACAAAUGACGGUACCUGAAUAAGAAGCACCGGCUAAAUACGUGCCAGCAGCAGC